AGAAGCAAGCACAUAUUAUCUUGGGCAUAUGAUGACUCCUCUUCUAACUCACCAUUCUCUAAGUUCCCCUCACAGACUUCGCCCUAGUGGAUUGUCAGUGCAAUGGGAAGUGAUGCUAUGUACAGUCUAAGAGAGGAAGUAUCUCACAGAGUCAGGAAGGGUGGCCUCUCGGCUUGUUACUGACCUGCCUCCCUCUGGUCCCUCUGGUCUCUUUCCCUCCCCCACUUUUAUUAUUAUUAUUAUUGUUAUUAUUUUGAUAAAAGUUUUACUCUGUAGCCUAGAGUGACCUUGAACUUGUGAGCCUCUCUUUCACCUCCCAAGUGCUGGUAUUUUGGGUGUCAGCUGCCACAUCUGGCUCCUGCGAGGUUUCUUUGCGCACUUGGGCAUGAGACAUGUUUAAAGGUCAGUAGCAGGAGGGGCAGCACUUGUGUGUGUGCACCUUAUCCUGUCACGAAGUGCUCCAUCUGAUCGUUGCUCUACUCGUGUGUGUGUGUGUGUGUGUGUGUGUGUGUGUGUCUCCACUGUACAAGGGAAGGAGAGGUAGUCCGGAUGCGGAUGUCUAGAAUGGGAGCCUAGCCUUUUGGCUCCUAGUCGGGAACUUUUCUGUCCUUGUACUGUUAGACCCUCCAUCACUGGCAGCAAGCGCACAAGAGCAACAAGUGAGGGAGGUGGGAGCAGUGUAAAAUCUGGUCAAGGGGCCAGUGAGGUGGUUCAGUGGGUAAAGGGGCUUGCUGCUAAGCCUGACAACCUGAGUUCAAUCCCUGGGACCCACACGGUAGGAGAGAAUCAACUCUUGAAUGUUGUCCUCUGACCUCCACACGACUGUGGCACACACGCACUUCCCUCUCCCAAAUAAAUGUUAUUU
rnacentral:lncRNA from 1 species